AUACGGGGGGUGCAAGCGUUAAUCGGAAUUACUGGGCGUAAAGCGCGCGUAGGCGGUUUGCUCAGUCGGAUGUGAAAGCCCAGGGCUCAACCUUGGAACUGCAUACGAUACUGGCAAACUAGAGUGUGAGAGAGGAUAGUGGAAUUUCCGGUGUAGCGGUGAAAUGCGUAGAUAUCGGAAGGAACAUCAGUGGCGAAGGCGACUGUCUGGCUCAACACUGACGCUGAGGUGCGAAAGCGUGGGUAGCAAACAGGAUUAGAAACCCCUGUAGUCCC
rnacentral:rRNA from 1 species